rnacentral:lncRNA from 1 species
UAGAUAUUAAAUGCGUAUUGAAAAACAGUAACUAUAUGGAUCAAUUGGAUAAGAUGAUGCACUCUACGUUAAAUUUUCUACACCGCUCAUGAUGCACAAAGAAUUUGCUUUUGUAGAAGAGACCCUGACUCUCCCAUCUUGGAAUCACCGAACAAAGUAAUAAAAAGGCCUAGGGACCAAAGAUACAUUAUCCCUUGGCAAAAGAAAAAGAAAAAGUAAACAGUUAUAGCAACUUCCUUUUGGCUUCAAUCAUCAA